rnacentral:rRNA from 1 species
UACGGAGGGUGCAAGCGUUAUCCGGAUUCACUGGGGUUAAAGGGUGUGUAGGCGGAUAUUUAAGUCAGUGGUGAAAUCUCAAGGCUCAACCUUGAAACUGCCAUUGAUACUAUUUAUCUUGAAUAUCGUUGAGGUAGGCGGAAUAUAUCAUGUAGCGGUGAAAUGCUUAGAUAUGAUAUAGAACACCGAUUGCGAAGGCAGCUUGCUAAACGAUUAUUGACGCUGAGGCACGAAAGCGUGGGGAUCAAACAGG